rnacentral:rRNA from 1 species
CAGUAGCCGCGGGAAUACGGAGGGGGCUAGCGUUGUUCGGAAUUACUGGGCGUAAAGCGCACGUAGGCUGCUUUGUAAGUUAGAGGUGAAAGCCUGGUGCUCAACACCAGAACUGCCUUUAAGACUGCAGAGCUAGAACGUCGGAGAGGUGAGUGGAAUUCCGAGUGUAGAGGUGAAAUUCGUAGAUAUUCGGAAGAACACCAGUGGCGAAGGCGGCUCACUGGACGACUGUUGACGCUGAGGUGCGAAAGCGUGGGGAGCAAACAGGAUUAGAUACCCCGGUAGUCCCUGUCUCUUAUAC